GAUAUUAGGAGCUGAAAGGAGGGAAGGUAGAUUUCUUUGAUUUUUCCAGACGUCAUUGUUGAAAGGGCAUCACUACAGACCGUCUGAAGGGCCCGGACUAUAUCCAUUUGUUUUGUGACCUCUGCUGGCUACAAACCUGAGCACAGAUGCUUGACCUAUUGUGAGUAAGAAAGUCGUCUGUAGUGCAACCCCCCUUUGUCUUUACUUAAGAAAGAUAUAAACUAUAAGCGGGUAGGAACAGAAGCAGCGCUUGUUUUCGUAGGCAAGUGUUCUACCCUGGUUCAGAACCCGUAAGCUGUGUCAGUCUGAUCUUGUUCAUUUAAAUUCCCUGAGUUGCUUUGUAUGGCAGUGGGUACUCAGUAAGUCAUCUAGGGUUUCUGAGGAUGAUUACAGACAGAAUAAUACAGAGAUGCACUUGUGCCUUUUGAGGUUCGGUAUAAAACUCUAUGUCUCAUUCAUUAUAAGCAGAAAUCUAUUUGGUCUUACAGUGGCUUAUUCCUUGUGCAUCUUAUCAAAAUUCAGUCCAAAUAUGAUAGUUUUUAAUCUUUAAAUAGAAACGAAUUGGAGAGGAGUCAUGAGACACCAUUUGGGAUUGUUGGCAAUUUUAAAUGUUCAAAAACCAAAAUCACACAAGCAAGAGAACAGUGAGCCCCAUCCUGCUGACUAGAUGAUCUAGCCAGCAGUUGGUGCUGGCACCAAAUUAUUAGCCAGACUGG
rnacentral:lncRNA from 1 species